rnacentral:rRNA from 1 species
AUGGAGAGCGGCGGUAAGCAAUGGCAAGCGCAGCUGGCGGGGCUCGCGCUCGCGUUCCUCCUCUUUGCGCCUGCGUUGGUGCAGUGCGCGGGCGCCGAGGCCGACGGCGAGAAGGACGGGCUGCCGUCGCCGGGGAAGACUGUGCCGCCGGUUCCGCCUGGGUGGACCGGCGACUCGGGGUCCGCCCAGGGGUCCAUCCCUGACGGUUCCACCUGGAAGUACGAGUGGGGAUGGGCUGCCGGGCCUGUUGGAAAGGGCUCCGGUUUCGGAUACGGUUACGGUGGCAGCGGUGAUGCAGGCGGCGGGGGCCAAGGUGGUGGCAGUGGCGUAGGAAGCGGAAGAACGUUUGGUCCACGCGAUCGCGGAUACGGUGGAUAUCCCGGUGGCUAUGGUGGCAACGGUGCUGGUGGUUAUAAUGGGGAAGGAGCGUUUGGCGGCGAAGAUGGUGGCGCUGGCUGGAACAAGCGCGGUGGAUUCCGCGGUGGAGGGUGGCGUUAA